UGGACCAACAACGCCCAGGAAGCACACCUUCCUUGGCGUGCUUACGUGAAUGCCUCCUUGGCGUGGUUGACCAACGCCAAGGAAGCAUAUCAUUGUUGAAUCCUGGUGGACCAACAACGCCCAGGAAGCACACCUUCCUUGGCGUGCUUACGUGAAUGCCUCCUUGGCGUGGUUGACCAACGCCAAGGAAGCAUAUCAUUGUUGAAUCCUGGUGGACCAACAACGCCCAGGAAGCACACCUUCCCUGGCGUGCUUAUAUGAAUGCCUCCUUGGCGUGGUUGACCAACGCCAAGGAAGCAUUUUGCUGUUGAACCUUUAGGCACCAACGACGCCCAGGAAGCAUGUCUUCCUUGGCGUGCCUAGACAAACGUCUCCUUGGCGUGGGACACCCACGCCAAGGAAGCAUACACAUAAAGAAGGGAUAUUUAUGGAAAGUAAAUUAUGAUUUAUUCAUAAAGUGCUGAAUAUUCCUCAAAAAAUAUGGGAAAAAUCCUGAAAAUUCAGGGAAAAUCAUUAAAUUGAAAUCCUAAUUUCAAAUAUAUUUUGAAAAUUAUUUAAAGGCUCGAAAAAUUCUAGAAAAUUGGAAUUUAAUUAUAAAAAUUCCAAUUAAUUUGAAUUUAGCCCUGAAAAAAUACGAAAGUACUCGAAAGUACCAUUACGAACGUAAUUUUGAAGGAUACUUAUUGUACCAAUAAAAAAGACUCGUAGUGUCAUGAAAACGACUCGAAAAAUCAAAAGAAAGACUCAUGUCUUCCGAUACUCCAAUCAAAAAUGAAGUACGAUCCCGAAGGAUACGAAACAGAGCUAUCUUUACUAUACAGUCAAUUCGAAUCAUCUCUCGAAUUGUUUCAAAGUAGUCAAGAUCGGUGAGAUCCUUGCGCUAUUUAUGGAACUUCAGACCUUGGACGAUGGGAAUUUGCAGAAGUUAGCUUUCUCGCAUGAUAUAUGAAUCAGGAGCUCAGAAAGCCGAUGAGGACUCAGCAACUUUUGAAAAGUUUUUACAAAACUUGUCGAAAGUUGGGGGGCAAAUGAUAUGAGUCAGAAGUAAUAUUUAAUAUUAAAAGCCCAAGAACACUAAAGCCCAGUUAAAUAGGGCCUGAGGCUCUUAAAUGUUAAUUAAUUUCGUAAUUAAUUAAUAGAGGUCCAGUUAGAGGUCCAGUUACGAGUCUAAAUUCUAUAAUACAUCUGAUUCUAGCAGAUAAAUAUUCAGAAGUUCGGAUAAACGUCAACAACAAGAGGAUAAGAGUUCUAUCUUAUCUCUUGCUUCGAAACCUACUUCGAUAAGAAGUCUGAUACACGGAAUCAUACUUCCAUCCGACUUCUGACUCCGAAGCGCCUAUAUAAAGGGCUCUACCCCUCAUAACUAGAACUACGUUUUGGACUUGAUUCUUCUCCAAGCAGAAGAUACGUAGGCAUCUCACAUCGAGACCAGUCCGAAGCACGAAUCGCUCACCCCCGUUUUUAGUUCUACAACA
rnacentral:lncRNA from 1 species